UUCACAAUGUGCGAAAGCGCGAUGAGGGGAUCCCAAGUGCUUGCUCGUAAGAGUAAGCUGUUUUUAUGUCUAAAACGCAUAGAGAGUAAGGGCUGGGUAAGACGGGUGCCAGCCGCCGCGGUAAUACCUGCAGCUCAAGUGGUGACCGCUAUUAUUGGGCCUAAAACAUUCGUAGCCGGUUUGGUAAAUGCCUGGGUAAAUCGUGUAGCUUAACUAUACGAAUUCCGGGUAGACUGCCAAACUUGAGACCGGGAGAAGCUAGAGGUACUCCUUGGGUAGAGGUGAAAUUCUGUAAUCCUAGGGGGACCACCAGUGGCGAAGGCGUCUAGCUAGAACGGGUUUGACGGUGAGGAAUGAAGCCCUGGGGCGCAAACCGGAUUAGAUACCCGGGUAGUCCAGGGUGUAAACGCUGCUUGCUUGAUGUUAGUUGGGCUCCGAGCCCAAUUAGUGUCGGAGAGAAGUUGUUAAGCAAGCUGCCUGGGAAGUACGAUCGCAAGAUUGAAACUUAAAGGAAUUGGCGGGGGAGCACAGCAACGGGUGGAGCGUGCGGUUUAAUUGGAUUCAACGCCGGAAAACUCACCGGAGGCGACGGUUACAUGAAGGCCAGGCUGAUGACCUUGCUUGAUUUUCCGAGAGGUGGUGCAUGGCCGCCGUCAGUUCGUACCGUA
rnacentral:rRNA from 1 species